UGUUAACGUAACUGUGCAAUUUGUUGCAAUUAUUAUAUCAUCAACCCAAAUUAUCACAAUGGUCAUCGACUUACCUGAAAUUUUGGUCAACUAAAAUUGAGGGCUACCACGACAUUAGAAGAGGAUUUCAUGUACUUUCAAACACGUUUAAUAAGCUCUCAAGGCGGAAUUUUACAUAUACAUUCAAUUUUGUUGAACACACAAUAGCUUUAGCACUUGCUUCCUUAGGUGAUUAAAAAUAACAAGUUUUUGUUUCAUUUUUUCCCCAUGUAUUCCCUUACCCAAUGCAAAUUGUUUUCGUUAUUUGCAGCAAUAUUCGAAAGACGCAGCAUGAUGAGGACCCUUGCCGAAGCACCCCAAAUU